UUCCUUAAUUAUAAUUUGUUUCCACAUUCUGGCUGUGACAGUGGACUAUCAACCUUAAAAAUGGAGACCAUGGGCACCUGUGUAGCUCACCUGGUAGAGUCUGCACCCAUACACAAAGGCUCAG